rnacentral:rRNA from 1 species
AUUGAACGCUGGCGGCAUGCUUUACACAUACAAGUCGAACGGUAACAGGCCGCAAGGUGCUGACGAGUGGCGAACGGGUGAGUAAUGCAUCGGAACGUGCCCAGUCGUGGGUGAUAACUGCUCGAAAGAGCAGCUAAUACCGCAUACGAUCUAUGGAUGAAAGCGGGGGACCGUAAGGCCUCGCGCGAUUGGAGCGGGCGAUGGCGGAUUAGGUAGUUGGUGGGGUAAAGGCCCACCAAGCCAACGAACUGUAGCUGGUCUGAGAGGACGACCAGCCACACUGGGACUGGGACACGGCCCAGACGCCUACGGGAGGCAGCAGUGGGGAAUUUUGGACCAUGGGGGCAACCCUGAUCCAGCAAUGCCGCGUGCAGGAAGAAGGCCUUCGGGUUGUAAACUGCUUUUGUACGGAACGAAACGGUCUGGGUUAAUACCCUGGGCUAAUGACGGUACCGUAAGAAUAAGCACCGGCUAACUACGUGCCAGCCGCCGCCGUAAGAC